rnacentral:rRNA from 1 species
UACAGAGGUCUCAAGCGUUGUUCGGAUUCAUUGGGCGUAAAGGGUGCGUAGGUGGCGGGGUAAGUCUGGUGUGAAAUCCUGGGGCUCAACCCCGGAACUGCACUGGAUACUGCUUUGCUAGAGUACUGGAGAGGGAACUGGAAUUUACGGUGUAGCAGUGAAAAUGCGUAGAUAUCGUAAGGAAGACCAGUGGCGAAGGCGGCCAUCUGGACCAGCACUGACACUGAGGCACGAAAGCGUGGGGAGCAAACAGG